rnacentral:tRNA from 1 species
UCCUUGGAGGACUAGUAGUUAGGCCACGGCUCUCACCGCCGUGGCCUGGGUUCGAUUCCCGGCCAGGGGA